rnacentral:rRNA from 1 species
GACGAACGCUGGCGGCGUGCUUAACACAUGCAAGUCGAACGGAAAGGCCCUGCUUUUGUGGGGUGCUCGAGUGGCGAACGGGUGAGUAACACGUGAGUAACCUGCCCUUGACUUUGGGAUAACUUCAGGAAACUGGGGCUAAUACCGGAUAGGAGCUCCUGCUGCAUGGUGGGGGUUGGAAAGUUUCGGCGGUUGGGGAUGGACUCGCGGCUUAUCAGCUUGUUGGUGGGGUAGUUGCUUACCAAGGCUUUGACGGGUAGCCGGCCUGAGAGGGUGACCGGCCACAUGGGGACUGAGAUACGGACCAGAAUGCAACGGGAGGCAGCAGUGGGGAAUAUUGCACAAUGGGCGGAAGCCUGAUGCAGAAACGCCGCGUGCGGGAUGACGGCCUUCGGGUUGUAAACCGAUUUCGACUGUGACGAAGCGUGAGUGACGGUAAUGGGUAAAGAAGCACCGGCUAACUACGUG